rnacentral:lncRNA from 1 species
UUGAGGGAUCAGGUUUGGGUUUUUUUUGACCCAAUGUCCUUCAAACAUAGUUUGGGAAGAGAGUGUGUUUUUUUUUUAAACCUGGAAGGAGAAAAAUAAUAGCUAAGCAACCUGCAUUAAAAAUAUUUACUUAAAAACACAAUGUCAGGAUAAGGAAAAAGCAUUUGCUGUGCGCUUGUCAGUCCUGAAGCCCCAGUAGCUGAAGUUAACACAGUGGGACAGAGCCCCUAACUGUCAGUUACAUCUGACAGUUCUGAUCACUUCCACCAGCUUGGCACUUAGAGCAAGCCAUGACUGUUCUCUUUUUCUCUAAGCAACCGCCGUAAUGAGUUGUAACUGUAAACACUUACUGUGAUGGCCUGGAGUCUCUCCUUCACCAGUUCAGUCUCUUCCAUUCUAGAGAUCGAGGUUGGGGAAACCGUAAAGGGAAUGAAUGUGAAGCUACCAUAAAAUGCUUGGUAUAAACUUUGGUCUAAGUCACAGAAAAGUCAGAGGCAUCAAUGGGACACUGUUCUGGAGCUGGCUUCUCAUGAAUGUUCGGUGUGGGUUGAACCUUCAGGACCAAUGCCUACGAUUUCUUAGAUUUUAUAGAGUGUAGGUCUAUCCUGAAACUACGUCAAGAAGGGCACUCUCAGUUCUAGGGCUGGUUUCCGUUUUGACCUCUUCAGUCAUGCAUGACAAAAGGACGAGCCUCCGGAAGAAGGAUGAGAAAGUUUGCAACUGGCUCCAUCAGAAAUUUUAUACAGAUGCUCACCCUUUCUAUUCAAGGUCUGCUUUUGCACCUCCACCCCCAUCAUCAACUCUGGCAGAGAAUUAGAGCAGCAAAGCAGAAAAAAGGUUAUUGAUCCACACAACAAGAUCUCCAUAGCUCCUGAAUUCUUCCUGUCUCUGUUGUUCUCCUGUGGAACUCCCUUCUAAUCUAGGUAGCGCCAUCACAUCAAGACCUCCCAUUCAGGGCUAUGAUUGAAGCAGCAUGCCUGGUUGAUCCCAGGUCAUGUCCUCCAUUCAGUCCCGUUUCCUAAAAGGUCUCAUCCUCUAAGCACCUGAAAACUCCACAUUCUUGAGGUCAGUGAAGCCCAUCAAAACAUACCUUACCUCACAUAGUAAUAACUGACAUUGAUUAUCAGAGGUGUGGUAAACUGAGGUCUUUUUGCCUCCAGGUACUGUAUCUAUUAAACCAGGUACUGGAUUUACUAAACCAUGCUGUGUCAGAGUCAUUUCUGUUCCUGAUGCUUAUUUUUAGG